AUUAGGCUUCCAGGGGAUACUGUUAGACUUGGGACCGGGAGAGGUAAGAGGUACUGCAGGGGUAGGAGUGAAAUCUUGUAAUCCCUGUGAGACCACCAGUGGCGAAGGCGUCUUACCAGAACGGGUCCGACGGUGAGGGACGAAAGCUGGGGGCACGAACCGGAUUAGAUACCCGGGUAGUCCCAGCUGUAAACGAUGCUCGUUAGGUGUCAGGAACGGUGCGACUGUUUCUGGUGCCGAAGGGAAGCCGUGAAACGAGCCACCUGGGAAGUACGGCCGCAAGGCUGAAACGUAAAGGAAUUGACGGGGGAGCACUACAACGGGUGGAGCCUGCGGUUUAAUUGGACUCAACGCCGGAAAACUCACCGGGGGCGACAGCAAUAUGUAGGUCAGGUUAAAGGUCUUACCUGAAUCGCUGAGAGGAGGUGCAUGGCCGUCGUCAGUUCGUACUGUGAAGCAUCCUGUUAAGUCAGGCAACGAGCAAGACCCGUGCCCACUGUUACCAGCAUAUCCUUUAUGGAUGAUGGGGACUCUGUGGGGACCGCUGCUGCUAAAGCAGAGGAAGAUGCGGGCUACGGUAGGUCAGUAUGCCCCGAAUCUCCCGGGCUACACGCGGGCUACAAUGAUUGGGACAAUGGGUAUCUACUCCGAAAGGAGUUGCA
rnacentral:rRNA from 1 species